CCUACGGGUGGCAGCAGUGGGGAAUAUUGCGCAAUGGGCGAAAGCCUGACGCAGCGACGCCGCGUGAGGGAUGAAGGUCUUCGGGUCGUAAAACUCUGUCAGCAGGGAAGAACGGUCACUGUGCUAAUCAUCAGUGAAUUGACGGUACCUGCAAAGGAAGCACCGGCUAACUCCGUGCCAGCAGCCGCGGUAAUACGGAGGGUGCGAGCGUUAAUCGGAAUUACUGGGCGUAAGGCGCUCGUAGGCGGUAUGUCAAGUCAAGGGUGAAAUCCCCGGGCUCAACGUGGGAACUGCCUUUGAAACUGGCAGACUGGAGUGUGUGAGAGGAUAGUGGAAUUCCAGGUGUAGGAGUGAAAUGCGUAGAGAUCUGGAGGAACAUCAGUGGCGAAGGCGACUAGCUGGAACAUAACUGACGCUGAGGUGCGAAAGCGUGGGUAGCAAACAGGAUUAGAUACCCUAGUAGUC
rnacentral:rRNA from 1 species